AGGCUCCAACAGCAUCAAUUGGGGAUUUGAUGGUCGCAAAUACCAGUUUACUGUCUCUGCUAACGCAUGGCCAGUAAACUUAAUUUGCGACCAUCAAAUCCCCAAUUGAUGCCAUCGGAGCUU
rnacentral:sRNA from 1 species